rnacentral:rRNA from 1 species
CCUACGGGAGGCAGCAGUGGGGAAUAUUGGGCAAUGGGCGCAAGCCUGACCCAGCAACGCCGCGUGAAGGAAGAAGGCUUUCGGGUUGUAAACUUCUUUUGACAGGGAAGAGUAGAAGACUGUACCUGUCGAAUAAGCCACUGCUAACAACGUGCCAGCAGUCGCGGUAAGACGUAGGUGGCGAGGGUUGUCCGGAUUUACUGGGUGUAAAGGGCGUGUAGCCGGGUUGACAAUUCAGAUGUGAAAUCCUGCGGCUUAACCGCCGCACUGCCUUUGAAACUGUUGAUCUUGAGUACUCGAGAGGCAGACGGAAUUCGUAGUGUAGCGGUGAAAUGCGUAGAUAUUAGGCGGAACACCAGUGGCGAAGGCGGUAUGCUGGACAGCAACUGACGGUGAGGCGCGAAAGCGUGGGGAGCAAACAGGAUUAGAUACCCGGGUAGUC